rnacentral:rRNA from 1 species
AAAUUGAAGAGUUUGAUCAUGGCUCAGAUUGAACGCUGGCGGCAGGCCUAACACAUGCAAGUCGAACGGUAACAGGAAGCAGCUUGCUGUUUCGCUGACGAGUGGCGGACGGGUGAGUAAUGUCUGGGAAACUGCCUGAUGGAGGGGGAUAACUACUGGAAACGGUAGCUAAUACCGCAUAACGUCGCAAGACCAAAGAGGGGGACCUUCGGGCCUCUUGCCAUCGG